AGCUUGUUGGUGGGGUAAUGGCCUACCAAGGCGACGACGGGUAGCCGGCCUGAGAGGGUGACCGGCCACACUGGGACUGAGACACGGCCCAGAUUCCUACGGGAGGCAGCAGUGGGGAAUAUUGCACAAUGGGCGCAAGCCUGAUGCAGCGACGCCGCGUGAGGGAUGACGGCCUUCGGGUUGUAAACCUCUUUCAGUAGGGAAGAAGCGUAAGUGACGGUACCUGCAGAAGAAGCGCCGGCUAACUACGUGCCAGCAGCCGCGGUAAUACGUAGGGCGCAAGCGUUAUCCGGAAUUAUUGGGCGUAAAGAGCUCGUAGGCGGUUUGUCGCGUCUGCCGUGAAAGUCCGGGGCUCAACUCCGGAUCUGCGGUGGGUACGGGCAGACUAGAGUGAUGUAGGGGAGACUGGAAUUCCUGGUGUAGCGGUGAAAUGCGCAGAUAUCAGGAGGAACACCGAUGGCGAAGGCAGGUCUCUGGGCAUUAACUGACGCUGAGGAGCGAAAGCAUGGGGAGCGAACAGGAUUAGAUACCCUGGUAGUCCAUGCCGUAAACGUUGGGCACUAGGUGUGGGGGACAUUCCACGUUUUCCGCGCCGUAGCUAACGCAUUAAGUGCCCCGCCUGGGGAGUACGGCCGCAAGGCUAAAACUCAAAGGAAUUGACGGGGGCCCGCACAAGCGGCGGAGCAUGCGGAUUAAUUCGAUGCAACGCGAAGAACCUUACCAAGGCUUGACAUGAACCGGAAACGCCUGGAAACAGGUGCCCCACUUGUGGUCGGUUUACAGGUGGUGCAUGGUUGUCGUCAGCUCGUGUCGUGAGAUGUUGGGUUAAGUCCCGCAACGAGCGCAACCCUCGUUCUAUGUUGCCAGCACGUGAUGGUGGGGACUCAUAGGAGACUGCCGGGGUCAACUCGGAGGAAGGUGGGGACGACGUCAAAUCAUCAUGCCCCUUAUGUCUUGGGCUUCACGCAUGCUACAAUGGCCGGUACAAAGGGUUGCGAUACUGUGAGGUGGAGCUAAUCCCAAAAAGCCGGUCUCAGUUCGGAUUGGGGUCUGCAACUCGACCCCAUGAAAGUCGGAGUCGCU
rnacentral:rRNA from 1 species